AGCGAACGCUGGCGGCAGGCCUAACACAUGCAAGUCGAACGGACCCUUCGGGGUUAGUGGCGGACGGGUGAGUAACACGUGGGAACGUGCCUUUAGGUUCGGAAUAGCUCCUGGAAACGGGUGGUAAUGCCGAAUGUGCCCUUCGGGGGAAAGAUUUAUCGCCUUUAGAGCGGCCCGCGUCUGAUUAGCUAGUUGGUGGGGUAAUGGCUCACCAGGGCGACGAUCAGUAGCUGGUCUGAGAGGAUGACCAGCCACAUUGGGACUGAGACACGGCCCAAACUCCUACGGGAGGCAGCAGUGGGGAAUCUUGCGCAAUGGGCGAAAGCCUGACGCAGCCAUGCCGCGUGGAUGAUGAAGGUCUUAGGAUUGUAAAAUCCUUUCACCGGUGAAGAUAAUGACUGUAGCCGGAGAAGAAGCCCCGGCUAACUUCGUGCCAGCAGCCGCCGUAA
rnacentral:rRNA from 1 species